rnacentral:rRNA from 1 species
UCAGGUGGCCGCAGAGAAUAGGCCCAAGCGACUGUUUACCAAAAACAUAGGUUUCUGCUAAGUCGCAAGACGAUGUAUAGGAGCUGACGCCUGCCCGGUGCUGGAAGGUUAAGGGGAUCUGUUAGAGCAAUCGAAGCAGUGAACUUAAGCCCCAGUAAACGGCGGCCGUAACUAUAACGGUCCUAAGGUAGCGAAAUUCCUUGUCGGGUAAGUUCCGACCCGAACGAAAGGCGUAACGAUUUGGGCACUGUCUCAACAACAGACUCGGUGAAAUUGUAAUUCCGGUGAAGAUGCCGGAUACCUGCGACAGGACGGAAAGACCCCAUGGAGCUUUACUGUAGCUUGACAUUGGGUCUUGGUACUACAUGUACAG